AUUGAACGCUGGCGGCAGGCCUAACACAUGCAAGUCGAGCGGCAGCGACUUAACUGAACCUUCGGGGAACGUUAAGGGCGGCGAGCGGCGGACGGGUGAGUAAUGCCUGGGAAUAUACCCUGAUGUGGGGGAUAACUAUUGGAAACGAUAGCUAAUACCGCAUAAUCUCUUCGGAGCAAAGAGGGGGACCUUCGGGCCUCUCGCGUCAGGAUUAGCCCAGGUGGGAUUAGCUUGUUGGUGAGGUAAUGGCUCACCAAGGCAACGAUCCCUAGCUGGUCUGAGAGGAUGAUCAGCCACACUGGAACUGAGACACGGUCCAGACUCCUACGGGAGGCAGCAGUGGGGAAUAUUGCACAAUGGGGGAAACCCUGAUGCAGCCAUGCCGCGUGUGUGAAGAAGGCCUUCGGGUUGUAAAGCACUUUCAGUAGGGAGGAAGGUAGUGUAGUUAACACCUGCAUUAUUUGACGUUACCUACAGAAGAAGCACCGGCUAACUCCGUGCCAGCAGCCGCGGUAAUACGGAGGGUGCGAGCGUUAAUCGGAAUUACUGGGCGUAAAGCGCAUGCAGGCGGCCUGUUAAGUCAGAUGUGAAAGCCCGGGGCUUAACCUCGGAAUUGCAUUUGAAACUGGCAGGCUAAGUCUUGUAGAGGGGGGUAGAAUUUCAGGUGUAGCGGUGAAAUGCGUAGAGAUCUGAAGGAGUACCAGUGGCGAAAGCGGCCCCCUGGACAAAGACUGACGCUCAGAUGCGAAAGCGUGGGGAGCAAACAGGA
rnacentral:rRNA from 1 species